CGCCCCCCGGCGGGCGGAGCCCGGCGCCGCGGCCAGGAUUUCCCACCUCGCUCCCGCGACUCCGCUGCGGGUCUGCACACCCGAGGACUCGGGGUACUUAACCGAAACUAGCAAUCCCAGGCGGUACAAGGCCCUCCAUCGUAGGCAAAGCACUACCUGAAUGUAGAUUUGGGCCAUACGUUGGAAAAUAAGACAUGAGAGUAUGCUCCGAUCAACUUUUACUGUUCACUGGACAACUAUUUUGGGAAUUUGCAGACCUAUAAAGCCCAUCUAUAAAUCUCAAGCAUGUCCACUUUCAGAGAAGAGAAAUGCUGACAACCAUUUAGUCUCUGAGGACAACACUUUUAAAGUGUAACAAUGUGGCAUCCAGAGCUUAUCCAGAUGAGCGGAGAGCAAAUGAAUUUCCUUCUGCUCCCCUGUUGAAGAGGAGAGAAAAAUUCUUCAAGCUUCGCAUCAAGUAACUGCACAUUUAAAAUAAAUAAUUGCUUUCACUGGAGGUUGUAGCAAAAAAGUGAAUUCCGGAAAUGCCUAUGUGGACAGUAGCAACCCACCCUCAGGCUGAGAAUACUUGCUGGCUCUUUCUUGAGAAGCAACUCCUGAGUCUAUAGGGCAAGACAAUGCAUUUGAGUAAAUGUGAGAAAAGAAUUGAGAAAGUGGAAUUUCAUUCUCCCAGUUUUGAUGCAGAAAAGGGCAAACUGCCCAUAGUUAUCCACCCCCUCCCCAAUUAUAACAAUGAGAAAUACAAG
rnacentral:lncRNA from 1 species